rnacentral:tRNA from 1 species
GGAGACGUGGCCGAGCGGCUGAAGGCGGCGGUUUGCUAAACCGCUAUACAGGGUAAACUUGUAUCGAGGGUUCGAAUCCCUCCGUCUCCGCCA